GGGCAGAAGUACAAUAUUUGUCAGGGUAUGGCCAGUGACGUAUUUUUUUUAUUGGCCUGCUAUUUUCAAUAAUCAGAUAAACAUGCAAAAUCUUGACUUAACUUGAACGAAAAAGAUAUUGUGAUUUACCCACUUCCUACUCUCAUAAUUAUUUUAUCCUAAUUAGUUCUGUCUCCAAUGUCGCAAUAAAACUUAAUUCAGAUAAAAAAAAAAAAUGUUUCAUUGCGCAACUAAUUUGAUAACUUUUUGGAUACCUUGUACAUUAUCAUUUUGUAAUAAAUAUUGCGUGUGUCUUAUCACAUUUUAAAUGUGCAGAGAUAUGCGAUUAUAGUAGACGCAAAUGAGAUGCAGCAUAUAAACUAGUGUAUUUUGGUCUAUAUGCCAUUGUGUGCUUCUUCGUUACAUAUUUGUUUGUUGUUUUAGUGAUUUUAAGAUUAUAACACAAUGUUGGCUGCUGUAUCUUUAACAUUUUUACCUAUUGUGUAUGUUUGUUUUGUUCACGCAUCAUUGUCAAUAUAAUGGAAUUUGAUGCGACUUUCAUACAAGUGAGAGGUUUAGCUAGCUAUAAAACCAUGUUUAAUUCACCACUUUCUACAUAAGAAAAUGCCUGUACCAAGUCAGGAAUAUGACAGUUGUUAUCCAUUCGA
rnacentral:lncRNA from 1 species